rnacentral:rRNA from 1 species
UGGGGAAUUUUCCGCAAUGGGCGAAAGCCUGACGGAGCAAUACCGCGUGAGGGAGGAAGGCUCUUGGGUUGUAAACCUCUUUUCUCAGGGAAGAAAAAAAUGACGGUACCUGAGGAAUAAGCAUCGGCUAACUCCGUGCCAGCAGCCGCGGUAAUACGUAGGGGGCGAGCGUUGUCCGAAGUUACUGGGCGUAAAGCGCGCGUAGGCGGUUAUUCAAGUCUGGGGUGAAAGGUUCAGCGCUCAACGUGAACAGUGCCUUGGAUACUGGAUGACUUGAGUCUGGGAGGGGGAAGGGGAAUUCCUGGUGUAGCGGUGAAAUGCGUAGAUAUCAGGAGGAACACCGGUGGCGAAGGCGCCUUCCUGGCCUAAGACUGACGCUGAGGUGCGAAAGCGUGGGGAGCAAACGGG